GUGAUUUACUGGGAAGUGUUUCUAGGAGAAACUGUUAAGGGUGUGAGGGAGGUAGGACAGAGCAAGGCAGAAGCCAAGUAAGGGGCUAGUUUCAGGCAAAGUCCUGGGGAGGGUGUAGUGAAUUCCUGCAGCGGCAUUGCUGAGUAGAAGAUGCAUCUCAGAAUUGUCUUGACCUGAGGGGAGGAGAUGGGCUUCCAUAUUUCCCUGCCAGUCCUGCGCUAGAGGAGGAAGGUAGGGAGGUACAGAGGUAAACUUCUAGGUGCUUCUGGCUCCCUGCUAUUGCAGCCCAAGCUGUGCCAGGACUCAAGAGCACCUAGUGGAAGACAGUCCUGCAUAGAGAACUUUGGAGAAUGGCCCUGUCUGAGAGAUAUGUUACCCUAAACACCAAGACUCAAUAUAUAUGACUUAAGAAAAAAAAGAUCCUUAUGCACUAUCUGAAGGUGAUGCUUCCUGACUUUUGCAACAGAAAGAAUGCUGUCUUCCUGUGCCUGCGGAGAUGAUAAUCAAGCUGGCACACUGACAAUCAAUGUAAAUUCAUUAAACAAAACAGGAAGUAAACAGAUUGAGAUUGUCAUGACAAUGUGUCUCCUCCCCUUUCCUUUCUGAUUCUGGGUUGAACCCCAAGGAAACAUGAUGAACCAGGUUGCAUGACUGUGAAGGCAGGAUAAAAGAAAAGCAGAAGAACCACAUUAAUCAUGGCAGACAUUGAUGAAGAAGGACAAUGAGGUUUUUCUGGUGGGUUUCUGGAGAAAUCAACUGUCAACAUUCUGCAAAACAAUCACUGACUCAAAAAACUCAAGAAGGGAGUAAAGAUAAUUAAUAAAGUAAGUUAAGUUGUAUUAUACCCACAAAUACAAACCAGUGGAAUCAUUUCUGGGUAACAUAUUGAGCUAAUAAAGUAGUAAAAAGGUGUCAAUGAUUUUAGGUAAAAGAUAUUGCCACCCCACUCUUCUUAUGUGGCGAUGCCUAAAGAAGAGAUCGCGCUGGCUGCAAUAAUGCCCCAAUGGUCAAGAUAUGCCAGUUAUUCAAAUUGGAAAAUCCAGGUAUAUUCAUGGAACUUACCAAUCUUUGGUUACUAGUAGGAAGUCUGCACAAGCAGCAACUACCACAGUUGUUCUAAAAACAGGGUGACAAAAGGCCACUCUUUCAGGCUAUGAAGACAUUUUGGCUUUUGUUUUCACAAUUAGAGACUCAGCAGCUUUCUGGACAGAAACUGCUGGAGUCCAGGCUAUGGCAUACUUGUUUCAUCUGCCCUCUCC
rnacentral:lncRNA from 1 species